AGGGCUCUUCGCCCCUUCGGGCUUGAGCCCUAAAUAUAGCUGCAAGCAGCGAUGGCGGGCUCAAGCCACCAAUGCCAUCGCCACCCCGGUGGCAUCAGGUAAACUGUGCCCAGCGGGCACAUGCAUUCACAAUAUCCCUCUGGCAGUGACGUUUUAAAGGAUAUGGCGGUUAAAGGGUUAAUCCGAAUCAUCUAGACUUUAAAAUCACAUUCACAGAACAAUAUAUAUAUAUAUAUAUUCCCCAAACAUAUAUAUAUAUAUUUAGUAACACUUUACAAUAAGAUUUCAUUUAUAAACAUUAUGUUAACAUGAACAAUAUUUAUAUAGCAUUAAUUUAUGUCAGUUAAUAUUCCAAACUUAAACAUUAAAACAUUGUUUUAUUGUGAUUUUUUUCCAAGCACAUUUUACCAAUUCCAAACCAUAUCAAUCUUAAUAACUACCAUUAUUUUUUAUUUAAUCAUUUAUGAGUGCUAUACAAUAUUCCAGGAAAGCUGGAAGAGAAAAACUCCUUAUAUUCAUGUGCAGAAUUAUUAGGCUGUUUUCUUUUACAGAUGAAAUGCGCUAAAAAAGAGUUUUAACUCAAACUGUUUUAACUCAAAGUCGAAAAUUAUGAAAUACCCAUGAGAAAUAUCAAACACAAAUGCAAUACAGAAAUGGAUAAGUUAAGACUUGACCAUUGUACAAAAAUGCUGACUGGGUCAUGAGGUCAGAAAAGAAGAAGAAAAAAAACAGGUCAAGAAGAACUGACAAAAAGAAUUGCAAAAUAAUUAGGAAUUAAUGUGAAGAUUAAUUUUUAGUCAAUUCUGCAAGACAGACUUUCAGGAAAGGAGGUGGAAUAAAAAUGAGCUCCUAAAUCUUAAUCCCGGAUUCUGGAAGAUAUAUUCCUCAAACCAUCGGACAAGAGGAGGUGCUGCUGGUCCUUCACGAGUCACUCUAAUCUGUUCAUAAAG